ACCCUUGUAGCUCAAACCGGAAGAGCGUCUCCGAAACAGGGAGGAGGUUGUGGGUUCGAACCCCAUCGAGGUAU
rnacentral:tRNA from 1 species